rnacentral:rRNA from 1 species
GUGCCAGCAGCCGCGGUAAGACGAACCGUGCGAACGUUGUUCGGAAUCACUGGGCUUAAAGGGCGCGUAGGCGGUCUAGCCAGUCCGGGGUGAAAGCCUCCAGCUCAACUGGAGAAGUGCCUUGGAUACUGCUGGACUCGAGUGAGGUAGGGGUCGUGGGAACUUCCGGUGGAGCGGUGAAAUGCGUUGAUAUCGGAAGGAACGCCGGUGGCGAAAGCGCACGACUGGACCUCUUCUGACGCUGAGGCGCGAAAGCCAGGGAGCAAACGGGAUUAGAUACCCCGGUAGUCC